UUAGGAAUAUUGGGCAAUGGAGGAAACUCUGACCCAGCAACGCCGCGUGAAGGAUGAAGGUUUUCGGAUUGUAAACUUCUGUUCUAUGGGACAAAAAAAAUGAUGGUACCAUAGGAGAAAGCCACGGCUAACUACGUGCCAGCAGCCGCGGUAAUACGUAGGUGGCAAGCGUUGUCCGGAAUAACUGGGCGUAAAGGGAGCGUAGGUUGUCUUUUAAGUUAAAUGUGAAAGACCGGGGCUUAACUCCGGAAAUGCAUUUAAUACUGGAAGGCUAGAGUACAGGAUGGGUAAGCGGAAUUCCCGGUGUAGUGGUGGAAUACGUAGAUAUCGGGAGGAAUACCAGUGGCGAAAGCGGCUUCCUGGCCUGUGCCUGACGCUGAUAUGCGAAAACGUGGGUAGCAAACGG
rnacentral:rRNA from 1 species